rnacentral:rRNA from 1 species
UGGGGAAUAUUGGACAAUGGGGGCAACCCUGAUCCAGCAAUGCCGCGUGAGUGAAGAAGGCCUUAGGGUUGUAAAACUCUUUUGUUAGUGAAGAAGAUGACGGUAACUAACGAAUAAGCCCCGGCUAACUCCGUGCCAGCAGCCGCGGUAAUACGGAGGGGGCUAGCGUUGUUCGGAAUUACUGGGCGUAAAGGGCAUGUAGGCGGUUUUGUAAGUUAGACGUGAAAUCCCCGGGCUUAACCUGGGAACUGCGUAUAAGACUGCAAGACUAGGGUACGGGAGAGGAUAAGGGGAAUUUCUAGUGUAGAGGUGAAAUUCGUAGAUAUUAGAAGGAACACCAGUUGCGAAGGCGCUUAUCUGGCCCGUUACAGACGCUAAGAUGCGAAAGCGUGGGGAGCAAACAGGAUUAGAUACCCGUGUAGUCCCUGAGCGGGCUGGCAAGGCGCAU